rnacentral:tRNA from 1 species
AGUUCCGAGGUGUUUAACACACUAGAUUGCAAAUCUAGAGUAGUAGACUAACGUCUGCCGGGGCUU